AAUAUGGAUCCUUCUCCACUUCGAAGGGACUAGGGAAGCGGAAAAGGUGUUCUAACAUUCCACAUCGUUUCAUUCCUCCUCCCCCAGUCACUGAAAAAUAGCAGAAGGUAGGGAGGAUAUGAAGAAGGAAUUGCUGAAGAGGAGGAAAAGGAGGCGAGAGAGGAAAGUCCUCAUUCAAAGUGUACAGAGGAGUUACACAUUAACAGCUUCAUCCUAUUGACUUGGAAGUCCCACUCAGUUCAAUGAGAUUUACUCCCAGGAAAACUGAAGGUGAAUGCCCACUGUCUCCAUCUGAGAUCCUGCAAUCAAUGAGGAGCUGCAGACAGUCUGCUUGGCUUUUUCAAAGGCACAGAGAGCAAAACACCAAAGAAAAUUCAUGAGUGCAUGAUGCAAACAUUGACUGACAAGUGCCAAUCAUAUUCAACUGUGAAGAAGAGAGGUGCCAACUUUCAGCGUGGAGAUUUUGUGACUGAGGAUGUAGCAAGGUCUAGGAGGCCUUCAACAGAGAACUCCUGAAAUUGUUGAGCGUGUUCAUGACCUAAUUGUGGUAGAUCGGUGAAUCUCAGCUGAAACAGGCAAUCCAUGGUAUAUGCAGAAUGCGCCUCCAGCACAACAUUUCAAAUGAGCUGAUUUUCUUUUUGUCACUUUUCUUCAUUGUUCUGCUUUCACAACCAUACAUAGAAAUCAGAAGUAGAAUGGCACUGAUGAUCCUGACUUGAGGAUUCAAUAUAUUUACAACUGUCCUCUGACAACCCUUCAAAUAGAAAAGUAUUCCUUGUUAACUUGGACACAUAGCCAUCCUAGCCGGAAAAGGGCUCUCAUCUCAGUUGGAGGGAUUUAUGUUGUGCCAGCUGUUGAAAAUCCUGGCUUUAAGGAGAUCACAUCUUUCUGUGUAUGGCUGGAUUAUAUGACAACUGGAAAGUACAUCUUUUACGAAGUACAUAUUGCCCUCCGGUGGCUUCUAUGUCAAUAGUGUAAUGAAUCAGCUCCAUGGUUUAGUUUGAAAUUUAAAGGAGCUAUGCAAGGACCUGAUGAAAACAAGUGUUCAGUCUCCCUCCAGCAAGGAAAG